rnacentral:rRNA from 1 species
GACAGAGGUGGCAAGCGUUGUUCGGAUUCAUUGGGUGUAAAGGGCAGGUAGGUGGCCUAGCAAGUCCGGUGUGAAAUCCCAGAGCUCAACUCUGGAACUGCAUUGGAAACUGCUUGGCUUGAGUACCGCAGAGGUGAGGGGAAUUCCCGGUGUAAGGGUGAAAUGCGUAGAUAUCGGGAGGAACGCCGGUGGCGAAAGCGAUCGUCUGGGGUGCAUGUGACGCUGAGGCGCGAAAGCUAGGGGAGCAAACGGG